AUGCUGCCCUUCCAUCAGCUAACAGCUGCACACCCCGUCUCUGCCUCUCUUGAUUCCUCAGCAGCGUUACACCUCUGCUGCCUGCAUGAGAAAGAUAACGGCAUGGCACUUCGUUCCUUCUUUCUCUGCAAGGUGUGGCAGUGUUCUCCAGCUGAGGCAAAGGGCACAUGAGUGCAGGAGAAGUAAGAAGCAUCUCUGCUGAACAGCAUGUUAUGGGCAGGUUAGCUCCUGGGAUCUUUCUA
rnacentral:lncRNA from 1 species